CUCUGAUGAAUGUGUUAACUGCUUCAGGAUGCGUUGGAAAGGAGAAUAGAACGACAACGGGCCAGACGGGAAUGGGAAGCACGAAGGAGAGAGAUUCUGUUUGACUACGAGCAGUAUGAGUUUCAUGGAACAUCGGCAGCACUGGUGAUGUUUGAGCUGGCCUGGGUCAUGUCUAAAGACACCAAAGACAUGCUGUGGU